GGAAGAUUUUGAAGGGCAGCAGGUACUUGGAGUCAGAGGAAACAAUUUCCGAAUGGUUUGAGGCAGCAGCUGCGCUUGUGAUCAGACAGGCUUUUCUGUGAAAGACUUUACAGUGAUGGAUUGACAACAUGGGUCAGCCAAUUCAGCUCUUCAGUGAAUCACUUUGCUUAAUUCCUUAUUCUUUGAUUCUGUCAGCUCUAAAUUCACACUUUUGUUGUUGCCCAGAUUGAAAUUUUUCUGUAAAUCCCUGCUGUAUGAGUUAAGGUUUGUGCAGAUGGUGGCACUGCUGAUCAAACUGACACUUAAUAGUUGUUUUCUCUUUUCUAAAGCCAAACAAAAGCAUUUUAAAGAGGAAGUGGGCAUCUAUUAUGAUUUUGGUGGCUUUAAUUGCUCCUCUGUACAUAGAAUAAAAGCCCUUCUGCUUCCUCUAUCUCUUGUCUAAUUUGAAAAAAUAUUAAGUAAAACCUCCCCAGAAACUUGUGGCUGUAACUGUUGCCCUGCUUCGAAACCUCUCAGAAGCAAUAACUUUCUUCCAUGCAGUGAGAUUUAAGUUUUAGUUGAAAGGCCUAGGAGCACCCAAGAAAUCCUGAGGAAAGGCUGCACAAGGAUGUUGCAGAAGGCAUCUACUGAAACCAUCCUGGUACACCAGAAAAUUGUCCCUGGUGACUUCUUUUCACUUGGGCUUUUGGACACCAUCCAGCAAGCAUAGAGGGAAGGCCACAGGGACGAGUUCUGUCUACAAUUUGGAUUAUAGCGUCAGAUCAGACUAUGAGCAGGAGAUGCAAACACAAACUUGGUCACAUCUGGCAGGGGAACCUGAGGAGCCAAAAGUUUAAAGACAGCUGUUAAAAAGCCUGGCUGAGACUUGGCAGUGUGGAGGGAAUGUAAGACCAUCAGCUAGUGAGUACUAAAGCUGAAAAAGAGGCGAUCUGGAGAGCACAUGUUAAAUGUAUGUUUUCCCCAAAGCAGCCAUUGUGGCAGAUUGGAGAAAGACAACUUGUAAAGCUGUGUCCUUGGGUAUACACAAGAAGAAAGGAAUUACCUUCCUGAUUUUCUUUCACAUCCUCCUCUGGCAGCUUUUUCUCCCCCCCAGCAGCUUCAGUUGAGGAUGCACAGGCCUUUGACCCACCUGCUGAGCAGCCUGCCAGCCUCAUGCUCAUGCUCACUCUCAUGCUGCUUGUCAGAGCCCUGACCUCUGGCACCUGCGUUGGAGAAACUGGUCCUGCAGCUGAUGAGAUCAUUAGGCUGCUUUAAAGGUGAAGUAGCCAGAAUCAUUGUGGAGUACAGGGUGUUAGUGAACACAUUAUGCGCACAGAGGAUAUCCAGUCUAAGUUUCUAAGGGCCAGCAGUUUUAAAAGGCUUACAAACAAGCUCUCAUUAAGGACUCUUGCAGCAUUUUCUUGGCAGAGAUAAAGUUGUCUCUGAAGUACUGCAAUCUGCUACAUUAACACAAUGAGCAAUUUGCUAAUGCUUCUUCAAAACCUUGUGUUAUCUCUUCCUUUUGUAUUCUAGGCUUCACCUUGCAGAGCUCUAGGCAUUUUUUCUCAUCUCACUCAAAGACUUUACAGUCUGAGUUCUCCUUCCCAAGCAAGUUGAUCCAUGCAAGAGAACUUCUGCUGCUGCACUGUGCUGGGUAAGGCACAGAUGUAAGGUAGACUCUCUGUAUGGGCGGUACAAUAUUGCUUUUAGUUCAAGAGUGCUGCAUGUUGGUUUUUUUUUUUGCAAACACGAUCAUUGGAUAUUUUGUUGGUCUGGCACCUGAUAAUGAUUUCAAAUCUGACCUGAACAAUUCUUAGCCUUGUUUUUCAAUCAAAUGACAUGCAUUCAGUACUUCAGGCCUUGAAACCUCCUGCUUCUCAAAGAGCUCGGUUAAUGUAUGGAAAUCCUCUGCAUAUGAAGACCACAGUCAUGCUCUAAAGAAAGUCCUCCAGAGCUGGUACGCUCAGUACUCCUGUGAUCCAAGAGAGCAGCUUUGUCUAGAAGGGUCACAAAUGACCUUUAAUGUUUUGCAGAUUUCAAAUUUUUGCUUAUAUUUGGGGAAAUCACAUUUUUCACCAAGCAUCUAAGAAAGUAAUGCAUCCAUAAAAGAGAAGAUGCUAAAACAUACAGGACUUUUUUGAUUGUUUCACUAAACACACCAUGCAUUUUCAAGUCCAUGCUCCAGGGUAUAUUGUUCCAGCAGUGUGAUGAAAAACCGUUUCUGUGAUUCAUCUUUGCUUGCUUUUUCAAUACUACUCAAGUAACAUUAGUUCAUGGUAGAACAAAUCAAUGUGAAUCCAUGAGCACGUCCUCCUGAAUGGUUCCAGUGUGCGCUUUAGGAGAAGCCUCCUGAAAAUGAAGAUAUCUAACUUGCCUCUCAAUUCAGUGCCAGUUACUCUGACAGUGCUUGUCAGAAUCCAGCUGCUUUGGGAACAGGCACUGUGAGUUUGAAAGCUGCUGAUGUAUGUUAGCCUCCACUCAUCUUCUCCAAGUGACUCCUCAUGCCAGGAGCAAACAUGCACUCAUUGCCUGCCCAUCCUGGUUUAAAAGGAGAAUAUACAGACUUCAGCACAACAUUUUCCAUCUAUGUGCCCUUCUUCAUUGCUCUCUGUUUUCCUCGAGUGCUGUCAGAUGUUGAGCAGUGACAGCCAGCGGCAUUUAAACAUGUUGACUUGCUGAAGUAAAUAUCUGUGUUGUCAUUUGUGGAAGACCAAAGGUGUUAUGCUUCAGGAAAAGAGGCACAUGGCUGAAUAGCAAGCCCUUUUUUUCCUAAGAGUGUUGGCUUGCCAAGCUGGCCUAGGAGAUGAAUGGUGGCACCAGUUAAGCGAUCAGUCAUUUCCAUUUCUGCAGUGCCAUACUCAGCAUAAAACGUGAAGCUGGGAUCAGCACUUAUGUGAGUCAUCUUGAGGUCACUGCAGCUCAUGCCCACCUCGUCUUGUAAGAGCAGGUGAGGAGUAAAAUUCCAUUUAAUGCCACCAGGCAUUUUGUUCAAAGGAGAACACAGUGCUUCACUUUUACAGCUAGGAGCUACGGAUUUAUUGAAGGUGGGUUAAGUGGGUGGUAGUCUGACCACUGUUACCUCACAGCAGGGUGAAUGUUGUGCUAGUCCCAUAGUGCAAAUGCCUGUACUGUGGCACAGCUGCUGUGUUUCUCUUGAUGCUGUGCUUCACCACAGGGGAUGUGUUAUGGUGCCCGGGAGGGUUAUGGAAUGGAUAAUCACGGGAGCCAUCAUGGACCAGUUAAAGGUCAACCAGGGGAUCAGGCCCAGUCAGCAGGGGUUUACGAACGGUAGAUCCUGUCUGACAAACCUGAUUUCAUUCUAUGACAAGGUGACCCUCUUAGUGGAUGAGGGUAAGGCUGUCGAUGUGGUCUGCCUGGACUUCAGUAAGGCCUUUGACACUGUCCCCCACAACAUCUUUGUGGAGAAGCUGGCUGCCCACAGUCUGGAUGGGCGUAUUCUCUGCUGGAUGAAACACUGGCUGGAUGGCUGGGCCCAAAGAGCUGUGAUCAAUGGAGUUAAAGCCAGUUGGCAACUGGUCACGAGAGGUGUUCCCCAGGGCUUGGUACUAAAGGCACUUCUAUUUAACAUCUUUAUUAAUGAUCUUGAUGAGGGGAUUGAGUGCACCCUCGGUAAGUUUGCAGAUAACACCAAGUUGGGAGGGAG
ensembl:lncRNA